UACGUAGGUGACAAGCGUUGUCCGGAUUUACUGGGCGUAAAGAGCGCGCAGGCGGUCGUUCAAGUCGAGUGUGAAAGCCCCCGGCUCAACUGGGGAGGGUCAUUCGAUACUGAUCGACUCGAAGGCAGGAGAGGGAAGUGGAAUUCCCGGUGUAGUGGUGAAAUGCGUAGAUAUCGGGAGGAACACCAGUGGCGAAGGCGACUCGCUGGACAGGUAUUGACGCUGAGGUGCGAAAGCGUGGGGAGCAAACAGG
rnacentral:rRNA from 1 species